UACGUAGGGUGCAAGCGUUAAUCGGAAUUACUGGGCGUAAAGCGUGCGCAGGCGGUGAUGUAAGACAGGUGUGAAAUCCCCGGGCUUAACCUGGGAACUGCAUUUGUGACUGCAAGGCUAGAGUGUGUCAGAGGGAGGUGGAAUUCCGCGUGUAGCAGUGAAAUGCGUAGAGAUGCGGAGGAACACCGAUGGCGAAGGCAGCCUCCUGGGAUAACACUGACGCUCAUGCACGAAAGCGUGGGGAGCAAACAGG
rnacentral:rRNA from 1 species